rnacentral:lncRNA from 1 species
GUGCCUUUGUUUCUGCUCACGAACAUCAGCGCGAACCCUGAGCCAAUAAUUAAGACCUACUACCCCUUAUAUGAAAACUGCAAAUUAACGCUGCCCCUGACUUCUCUAAGGACUAGGCUGCGCAGCGGAGAAAGACAGCCCUGGGAUACAUGUGGGGGAUAGUUCUUAUAGUCUUAUAGGUUUUAUAAUAUUUUUAAAGUUAUUAUUACACAGUAUUGGUUUAUGUAUGCAUAUUUUCUUAUUUGUUGCACAGUAUAUGAUUAUGUUUUUUAUUAUCAAUUGAUUUGUUUAUAUUGAGUUAUAAUUUUUUCUUUUUCUUUUUCUUUCUCCCUCUUUCUCUUUCUUCUCCUUCCCCUUUUUCCCCCUUUUUUCCCUUGAUGAUGGAUUGGAGGGCCUGCCCUCCCAGCGAGGGGCCCCAAAACAUCUCAGUGGUCACGGGUAGGGGGAGAUAUGGCGUUGGCCCCGUCCCUGCUCGUGUAAGAAGAACGAUGGGCAGAUGCCUAAAAGCUGUUCAUUGUUCUGAGACGGGGUCCAACCCCCAGUAUCGAGGUAGCCAGUCCAGUCGGCCAUCCACUCUACGCCUGGUGUUGUUGAAUGCCAGGUCUGUAUCCAACAAGGCCCAAUUAAUUUACGAUCUUAUUUUGGAGCAGGAUGCAGACCUGGCAUGCAUAACCGAAACCUGGAUUGGCGGAGAGGGGGGUCCCCCCCUAGCAUUCAUCUGUCCGCCCGGUUAUGCCGUCCAACACCAGGGUAGACUGGAAGGUCGGGGGGGGGGAGUAGCCAUUGUUUAUAAAUCCAGCUUAGAGGUUGCCAGGCGCUCCGCAGUGGUAAAACCGGGUCUAGAGGCUCUUCACGUGUCGAUUGGGGCCAGGGAUGGUAUUGGGAUUUUGCUGGGUUACCGUGCUCCCCGCGACCCAGCCACUUCCCUACCGGAGCUGGUGGACUUUGUCUCCGCGGCACUGCUGGGUUCCCCGAACCUAUUGGUUCUGGGGGAUUUCAACGUGCAUGCAGGGGCAGAGACUUCUGGGCCAGAUCUUGAGUUCUUGGAGACCAUGGCCUUCUUGAACAUGUCCCAACAUGUUAACGGCUCCACCCACGUGGGUGGCCACACACUUGACCUGUUUUUUUCCACAAAUGCGAGCGAGAGUGGUCCGAUGGUGACUGACCUUGAGUCGGUACCCUUGUCAUGGUCGGAUCACCACCUAAUAAAAUGCANNNNNNNNNNNNNNNNNNNNNNNNNN